rnacentral:rRNA from 1 species
CCUACGGGAGGCAGCAGUGGGGAAUAUUGCACAAUGGGGGAAACCCUGAUGCAGCGACGCCGCGUGAGUGAAGAAGUAAUUCGUUAUGUAAAGCUCUAUCAGCAGGGAAGAAAAUGACGGCACCUGAGUAAGAAGCCCCGGCUAACUACGGGCCAGCAGCCGCGGCAAUAAGGCGGGGGCAAACGUUAUCCGGAAUUAAUGGGGGUAAAGGGAGCGUAGACGGCAGUGCAAGUCUGGAGUGAAAGGCGGGGGGCUAACCCCCGGACUGCCCUUGAAACUGGAGGGCUGGAGUGCAGGAGAGGUAGGUGGAAUGCCUAGUGUAGCGGUGAAAUGCGUAGAUAUUAGGAGGAACACCGAUGGCGAAGGCAGCUUACUGGCCUGUAACUGACGUUGAGGCACGAAAGCGUGGGGAGCGAACAGGAUUAGAUACCCUGGUAGUC